CCGCCCAUUAGUUUUGUUGGUGGCGACUGCACCUUGCCAUUGGGGUAUUUCCCACACCUCUGCCCUUGGUUCCCGAGCUUCAUCCUCAGGAUUGGCAACGUGCACCCCGAGUUCCAUUUGCCUUCUGAGUUUGCCCUUCUUUAGGGAGAGCACUGAGGAGAUCAGAAAAGUUACCACGGAGCUCCUGAAAGCCAAAAAAGAGGCAUUCAUGGCAUUCCGAGAUGUGGCUGUUGACUUCACCCAGGAGGAGUGGUAAUUGUUGAGCCCUGCUCAGAGGACCCUGCACAGGGAGGUGAUGCUGGAGAUUUAUAACCACUUGCUCUCACUAGACAUUCUGUUUUCCAAACCGGAGCUCAUUUGUAAGCUGGAACAAGGGGAAGAGCCCCGGAUAGAGGAGAGGCGGCGUUCACUGGGUCUGUGUCCAGCAAGCCCUCAUCCAGCCUGUGUGGUUCAGCCAUCUCCCUCAGUUAUUCUCAAGCUUAUGUGCAGGAAAUCAUCUCCAUUCAGGGAAACACUGCUCAGAAGAUCACAGACUUCUGAACUUUCAGAAGGAACACUUCCAUUUUCACUGCACAGAAGAUCAAGUGCAGGAGCAACUCUCUGAUCAAACCUGCUUGAGCCACCAAGCAGAAAUUCAAGAGAAAGAAGAUUCCAAGCUUUUGUUCAGGAGAAUAAGCAGAAGCAGUGCUUCAGAGGCAAUCUCCAGCCCCCUGGAAGAACAGACAGUAACAUCCAAGGAAGACAACACAGUGGUGGAUAUAGGGCCCAGCCUGGCCCAGAGGACAGACCUCGAGGAAACAGACAAAAUACUAUGUGGUUUAGAAAUCUCAAGAUUUGGAGCAAUCAAAUAUGGAGAGUUUUGGGCUAGGCUUUAUCAAGGAGUCAAACCAGCUCAGCCUCCAGAAGACACACACAAGAGAGACCGCUUACAUGUACACUGAGUGGGGACAAAACUUCAGCAGUACGUCAGUCCUCAUCAAAAACCAAAGGACACAUUCUGGGCAAAAGCCUUAUGUGUGCAUGGAAUGUGGACAAGACUUUACCUGGAAGUCAAACCUCAUCACACAGCAGAGGAUACACUCUGGGGAGAAACCAUAUAUGUGCAAGGAGUGUGGACAAGGCUUUACUUGGAAAUCAAACCUCUUCAUGUAUCAGAGGACACACUCAGGGCUCAAGCCUUAUGUGUGCAAGGAGUGUGGCCAGAGCUUUAGCCUGAAGUCAAAUCUUGUCACACACCAGAGGGCACCCUCUGGGGAGAAGCCUUACAUUUGCAAGGAGUAUGGGCAUGGCUUUUGCCAGCAUUCACACCUCAUCAGACAUAAGAGGACAUACUCAGGAGAGAAGCCUUAUGUUUGCAGGGAGUGUGAGCAAGGCUUUAGCCAGAAGUCAUACCUUAUUAGACACUUAAGGACACACACAGGAGAGAAACCUUAUGUGUGCACAGAAUGUGGGCAUCAUUUUAGCUGGAAAUCAAACCUCCAGACAC